AGAGUUUGAUCAUGGCUCAGGAUAAACGCUGGCGGCAUGCCUAAUACAUGCAAGUCGAACGGGGUUAAUGGUGCUUGCACUGUUAACCUAGUGGCGAACGGGUGAGUGACACGUAGUUAACCUACCCAUUGGACCGGGACAACUUUUGGAAACGAAAGCUAAUACCGGAUAGGAAGAAAUUUUAAAGGAGCGUGUGCUCCACCAAUGGAAGGGACUGCGUCUGAUUAGCUAGUUGGUAGGGUAAGAGCCUACCAAGGCAACGAUCGGUAGCCGGACUGAGAGGUUGAACGGCCACACUGGGACUGAGACACGGCCCAGACUCCUACGGGAGGCAGCAGUAGGGAAUCUUGCACAAUGGGCGAAAGCCUGAUGCAGCAAUGCCGCGUGAGUGAAGAAGGUUUUCGGAUUGUAAAACUCUGUUAUAUGGGAAGAAUGUUUAGAGGAGGAAAUGCCUCUAAAAUGACGGUACCAUAUCAGCAAGGGACGGCUAACUACGUGCCAGCAGCCGCGGUA
rnacentral:rRNA from 1 species